GGAGGGGCGUCUCGCCUCCGUGUCGCCCGCCCACUGGGUGUGUUCACCGACAGUCGGCCUCGGCAUCCACCUGCUCCCGCCCUUACUGCCUCCAGUCAGAAGCGGCUAACUUUAGUGAGACACCCACGCGGCUUGUCUGGACCUCUUUUCCACCACGGGGACUUUUCUUUCACGCUCUUUUUUUGUUGUUGUUCUUGCUUCCCACGAGAUGUGGAUUGUGGCUGCUCUCUUUCUGCUCUUCUGACAACUACAGAAACAUAUUCCCUUUUCAAUGAAUCCUGCACACUGAACACGGACCGUUCAGAAAGUGCACCGGGAUUGUAUUAUUAUUAUCGAUUUCAGCUUGGAAACGGACGUGAUCGAUCAAUUGGAUUUUUUUUUUCCUUUUUUUUUCCCCAAUGACUAAACCAGACCGGCUGUGAAGUUUGGCCGAAUAUCCGGAUAGCUUCAACAACCAGAUUUGUUUUGUUAAAUCACUGAUUGUGUGCUACUAGAGGUCGGUCGACUAUGCAGCUAGACGGUCUGUGGACGUUCCACACCCUACUGGGGUUGUGCAGCUUUGCUCUGGGGAACCCACUGAGCAAUGACCCACUUGCUGCACCUCGUGUCUUCAUCUCCUUCAAAGCCAUACAGAUUAGGUGAGAUGGAUUCUGUAGGGGUCCGAGUUAGAGACCAUAUUAUCAAGAGCAAAUUGCCAGGAUCAGCCAAGCAGAGCGACAUCCCUGAGGCCCGUCCAGCUCGGAGAUCAAGCCUUUGAUUAGCAUCAAGAGAAAAGCGGAGGCAGCGAGCUGCGGCGCUCUGUUUGCUUUGCUUUCCAUUCCCCAUUGCUGCCUGGAACAAGUUGACUUAAUUAAGUGGACCCGUACGGUCCAUUGUUGAACUUGCUUUCCUGUUUUAAUCAAGUAGGAUUUAACACAUCAGUGAGCACACUCCGAGCUCUGCCUUUUUAUUUUACAUUUCAAAUUUAAUUUUAGUCGUUUUGUCAUACUCGGGCUGUGUUUUUGUGUAGACGUGUCACAGAGGUAUUUUGUUAAUGUCAUUUAAUCUACAGAAACCGGUUUGUAGUGAAGCUACUUAUAAGAUGCUUUUAAAUUGGCACUCUGUUAAAGGGGAACAUUAUCACAAUUUCAAAAGGGUUGAAAACAAUAAAAAUCAGUUCCCAGUGGCUUGUUGUAUUUUUUGAAGUUUUUU